UAUAACCUUACCUGAGAAAGAAGACCAGAAAAAGAGGGAAAAAAGGAAGAAUGGCUCUUUUCCAGCUUGGAAGACCAUAAAGCGGGAGGGCUCUCCAGAGCAAUAUAAAGAGUAAUGCGGUCCUCAGCAAAAUAACAACAGCAUUUUUUACCCAAAUGGGAAUCCUGAUUUUAAAACUCCUAUUGAAAUGGCAAGGAUGCCAUAUAGGCAAAUAAAUGUGAGAAAAUGAAAUUGGAGGACCUACGAUUCCCGACAUCAAACCUUUGACAAUAACUUGGAGUAAUCAAAAGUAUAAUUGCAACAGAGGCUGGAAAUACUGAUCAAACCAAUAGAACUGAGCGUCCGUAAAUAAACCCAUACAUCUAUAAUCCAUUCCUUUUGUAUCUGUGUGCUGAAAACAGACAGUGGAAAAAGAAUAGUCUCUUAAAUGAUACUGGCAUAACUGGAUAUCCAUGUGAGAAUGAAAUUGAAACUACCUUUUACCAUAUAAGGAGAUCAAUUGAGAAUUAAUCAGAUUAAAUUUAAGAGCUAAAGCUAUAAAAGUCUUCAGUGAAAACAUAGGAGUACAUCUUUAUGACCUUAAGGUUGGCAGUGGAUUUUUACACAUUAUCCCAAAAGCAAAAGAGAAAACAACAAAGUGGAGAAAUUGGUCAUCAUCUCAAUUGUUCAUGUCUGUACACUGAAGGACAUUAUGACACAAGUGAAACAAUCUACCAAAUGGGAGGAAAUAAUUUGCCAAUCACAUAUGUCCUAAGGGUCUAGAACCUAUAAUAAAGGAAGAACUUACACAAUUCACAGCCAAAAUGCAAAGAACCCAACUUGAAAAUUGGACAAAGGAUUUUAAUAGACAUUUCUCCAUAGAAGAUACACAAUUGAAACCAGCACAUGAACAAACAGUUGGUAACUAAAGUAGUCAUUAAUAAAAUGCAAAACCAAAACCACAAUGAGAUAAUAUUUCACAUCCAAAAGGAUGACUAUUGUAAAACAACAACAAGAAUAAAGAUGUGGAGAAAGUCGAAGCAUGACACAUUGCUGUACAAAUGUAGCUGCUGUGGAAGAAUGUGGCAGAUUCUGAAAAAAUUAAACCAUGUGACCCAGUAAUUCUACUUCUAGGUAGAACCAAAAGAAUUGAAUACAGGCAUCCAAACACUUAUACUGGAAAGUUCAUAGCAAUUUACUAAUAUCAGCCAAAGUUGAUAACAACCAAAUGCCCAUCAGUAGUUGAGUGAAUAUUGUCUAGCCCUGCAAUGGAAUACUCUGCAGUCAGAAGAAAGGAAAUAUGCCCCUGAUACAUAAUGUAUCAUGGAUGAACCCCAAACAUGAAUCUAUGAAAGAAGGCAGAUGCAAAAGGUCACAUUUUGGAUAUCUUUCCUUUAAGGUGAAAACAUCCAAGAUGGGUAAAUCCACAGAGAAAAGGCAUUAGUAGUUUAGUGGUUGCCAGGGACGGGGCAAAAGAAGCCCCUGUUCAUGGGUAAAAUCUUUCCUUAGUGGCUGAAAGAAUGUUUUCGAUCUAGACUGAGGUGGUGUUUGUACUAUGUUGUGAAUGCACUAAGUGCCCCCUAAUGGUAAUUUAAAAUAGCUAAUUUUAUGUUAACUAUAACUCGCUCAGAAUUACCUUACAUGGAUUAAAGAAAAUUGACUCCAGCCGAGUCAGUCUUUACA